rnacentral:rRNA from 1 species
CACGUAGGGUGCGAGCGUUGUCCGGAUUUAUUGGGCGUAAAGAGCUCGUAGGCGGCUGUGCGUCGCGGCGUAAAACCUGCAGCUUAACUGUGGGCGUGCGGUCGAUACGGGCAUCACUGGAGUUCGGCAGGGGAGACUGGAAUUCCUGGUGUAGCGGUGAAAUGACGCAGAUAUCAGGAGGAACACCGGUGGCGAAGGCGGGGUCUCUGGGCCGAUACUGACGCUGAGGAGCGAAAGCGUGGGGGAGCGAACAGGA